GAGCUUAAUGUGGAAUAGAGCAGAAGAGCUCAAAGAGACGUGAUACACCUACUUACAGAUCAUUAAAUUCAAACUGCAUACAACAAUGAUCAUCAUCUGCUCUGUUUUGACAUUUGUCUUGAGUUUGAGUUAUGGUGAAGCUAAUAAGAGUCCUGUCAGUUCAGAUAAAGCAUCUGUGUCUUUAAACGAAGGCAGUAAUGCUACUCUGUCCUGUACAUUUGAUGAAUCAGCUUACCGUCUCCACUGGUAUCGACAGCAGACCGGAUCGAAGUUAGAGUUUUUGCUGCUGAUUGAUAAAUCCACCAAAUUUGUAGUGCCCGCUAGUCCACCUCUUCCACAGAUGUCCACCAGUCUCCAUAAUAACAAUCAUGUGGAUCUGAUCAUCUCCUCUGCUGCUGUAUCAGACUCUGUGCUGUACUACUGUGCUCUGCAGCCCACAGUGACAGGAAAGCUUGCAACACAGUACAAAAACAAUAUUUUGAUGAUUAUUUUGUAUGAAUAAGUUACCUGUACUUCUCAGUUCAUGCUGCAUUUCAGCAAUCACAAUUUAACUGCUCUUGGCCACCAACAGGACUGGUUUAGUUGUCACUAUUAUAGACUGCCCUGAAUUGUGAUGAAUGCAACAAAAAUUAAAUAAGAAAAAAUGAGCAAUUAUCUCCACUGUUUAAUGUUGCUAAAGUUUAAGCAUUACAAUCGGAGACUUUGAACCACAGGUCACAUGAACUGGUUUAAAGGCUAAGGUAUAA